UGCCAGGAGUUGCAUGGUCUGAGUGCACCGUGAUUUAUUCAUCCAGUGAUAACCAGUGAGUCUUAGAGCUCAACUCUCCUUUCCGUCAGAGGAGGCUCCUCCAUGGAUCUCCCCACACAGCCCUUGGUUUCCUGGGGUACAGAGGCUCUGGUGACUCCCACUGCCUGGCGUUUCGUCUUCACUCCUGCCUCAUUUGAAUGGCUGGCGAUUCAAUCAAGACUCAGGCACGUUUCCAGCUGUGCCCGUGUCCAGGCUGGUGAGUCGUACAGCAGCUCAGGAGGAUGCCCGGCAGCUCCAGGGCCAGGCAGGCGUGAGGGCUCCUCAAGGCUCCUCCUGGGCCCUUUUGGCUUCCAGGCUACGUGACUGCAUCUACUCCUCAGCUUCUAUCUGUCUGGGAGUUGAAAAACAGAUGUUUCCUGGACACCUUCCCUCUGCCCUGCACAGGUCUGGGCACUUGGAAGCACCAUGUUCAAAACUUUCCAUCCUAGUCUUCCCUAAAAAAGAGCCAGACACUCGGCUUCUCACUGCUGUUCCUUUGGCCAGGUGAAUUCUCUCUGAAUCAUCCUCCCUCCUUGUUUUCUAAAUGAGAGGUCUGCCCUCCAGAAACCCUCCUAUCACCCAGACUGAGUUGGGUACCUCUGUUCUCUGAUGGGUCUGUCCCUCCCUCUGCUGUUGCUCUUGCUUUGUGUUGUGACAUUGCCCGGCUGUCCUUUCUCUGAAAUCCCCAAGGGAAAUCACUUGCAUUACUCAGUUUUAUUCCCUGGGCUUUGGUCACAGGAGGGGAUGCCUAGAACAUUCUGUGCACACAGGACGGAUGGGUGGAUGGAUGGAUGGACGGAUGAGGAGGUGAGGACCUGUUAGGUCCAAGAGAUUCCUGCUCCUCUUGACUCACUGCCAGGAGGCUGGAGAAAGUGGGGGGGCUGCUUCCAUCAGUGAGCUGCUCCAGGGUGCCUUAGCUAGAGGGGAAUCAGGACGGGUUCACCUACAUGUGGCUGAGAUGGGUUCUCCCCCUGAGUUCAUCUAACUUGAAAACUGGCUUCUCGGUCUUUCUCUAAUGAUGGUGAUGAUACAAUAGCACAACACUAGCUGCCUAUGACAUAAGGAGCAUGACCCCUGUGCCAGAUGCCAAGUUUGAUCUGUUCCCUGCAGGUUGGUGGAACCCUCGGGGUACACCUAGGAGAUCCAUGCAAUGUGACACUGCAGCCUCCCAUAAACACGGGAGGAUUCUGGGGGACCUCAGAACCUGCCCCAAUGUCACUCAGAUACUAGGUGGCAGGAGCAUGCUCCAAUCCCAAGCAGCGUCACCCAGAGUGGCCCUCCCAACUGCACGUGAAGGGGAAGAGGGGAGGGAGGAGAGCCUGAGAUUCUCGAUAUCCAGUGCAGAGCAUUUCCCUCCACACCAGUCUCCUGAAGUCCCUAGAGUGGUUUUCAUUUUCUCAUCACCCAAAGAAGAAGGAGGUGCUGAAGAGGCUUCCCACUGCCCAGAGAGUGACCAGAACCCUGGCGGAGGCCAGCUCUCCUGCCUGCUUUCCAAAUGGGGUGGGCAGCAAGAGAGAUCCGCGGUGGCAGCACCAAGCAGCUGAUAUGCCACUCGGGUCCCCAGGGACAGACUUCUUAAGUCCUGAGACUUUGACUUUUCGAUUCUCGAUGCAAAUGCUUCUCCCACUGAUUUGUAACCACAUCCCUCUCGGAUUGAAUGGAUUGACAGGCUGUCUCGUUUCCCAGUAUCUUCUGGAUCCCCAAGCUGAGAACACAGAGACUUAUCCCCUUCUGGAGAGAUUCUCAUUUAAAAUGCAGAAAGUUCAUCCAUAUGCAAAUAUGAAAGCUGAGCUAUUUACCUCCAGGAGCACAGGGGCUCCCGGAGGCCCAGGAGAUUUCCAGGGAGUCAGGUGCUCUGAAGCCCCCAGAGUCCUGGCCAAAGACCAUCUCCUGAAUCUGAGAGCCCUUGGGUCUCUGCAGACCCUGAACCACGGCCCUCUCUGCCUGCCUUUCACAUCCUGGGUAAUAAAAUUGAGUUUCUCCCCAAGGGGUGCACUGAGAUUGUUCCCUUACUUUGGAAUGGGUCUCAAUAGCUGAAGGGCUUCUUCCUGUUCUUUCGCUUCAUUAAAAAAUUUUCAAUUUCCC
rnacentral:lncRNA from 1 species